AAGUAAUGGUUCAUAUUUGGAUUUGGAAUUUAAGGAAGCAAGUUAGCCAACGCAUCAACCACGUGGGUCUCACUGCCUCCACCACCUUUAAAUCUCUUUUUUCUUUAGUUCUAAUCUAAAUAUUGCAUGAAAGGAACUUGUAUAACCCUACACUCACGACGAUGGUCAGUACGUUACAAGAGAGAUAUUUAAUCGUAGCUAAAUAACAAAGUCCGAGUGUAGAGAAACAAAAACUUGACGUGGAUCAAAACAUAACAACAAUGACUCUGAUUAUUAGUGUUAAUGCACAGCAUAGAUUAAAAAGAUAUAGCUAGUUAUCACUGUAGUUGAAUAAUGAGUAAUAUGUUGCGAUUUUAGUAGUUUGGCAAAAUGAAAAGAUGUAAGAAGAAGUAAAUGUAUAAUAGUUGCACGAAAAAAAAAAAAAAAAAAACUAUGCCAUAUGUUGUCCAACACGAACAGCAAAAUACAAGAGCCACAAUUUUGUGAAAGGUGACAAAAUGCAGCUACCUAUUCUUUCUUUCAUUUUUAUUUUGUGUCCAACAUUUCUACCAUGUUUUUUCUAUUUCAAGUAAAAAUGUAUAUUUUUGUACUUCACAUGAAAAGUUGCAUCAAUAUCAUCAGGUCGGCCGAAGCGCUAAUAAUAUCAAUAUUACAAUUAAUCUCUGAAUUAUCAGUCGGCCAAAUUAAUAUCGUAGUUGGUUCUUGAUUUGCUUUGAACAAACGUCAAUUAAACUAAAAAAAACAAAGAAACUUAAAAGAACAAAACACCAUUUGAAACAAAUAUUUAUUUAAUGGUGUUAUAUACUGAUUAUGUGAAUGAAUAAUUUAUUUUUUAUACUCGUGUUUAUACUAUCUCAAUAUUUAGCCACUACCAUCAUCACUUGUGCU
rnacentral:lncRNA from 1 species